UGCUGAUCGCUGAUUGGCCCACUCCAACUGCGAGCGCUCUUUUUUGUGAGCGCCGCUUCAAUGGAUCUGCGCAACUUUACUUUGAGUCAGUGUGGUCCCAUAAGUCGACAGGGCAUGCUGUUGUGUUACGUGCGCUGGUCUACAUAUCAAGCCUGUUAUUAUUUUGUGGAUUUGAUGCUUAAGAAGAUAAGGCCCUAGCACGCAAAUACACAUAUACAUACACACACAUAUUUGGCGAUUCUCUACAUAUAUAUGGCAAAAAAUUCGAGCGAUGCGUAAGAAGAUAAGAAGUUAAUGCAAAUAUGCACAUACACACAUACACAUAUACAUACAUACGUAUUUGGCGAUUCUCUACAUAUGUAUGUAUGCAUGUUGGUUUCGUGGGAGCGCAAUCAAUAAGAAGAAGAUGCACAAGCAUACAUACAUAUAUUUGGCGAUUCUCUCUGCAUACAUACAUAUGUUUGGGUGUGUGUUCUGGCUUACGGUUGCUUGCUCAGUUUGCUGUGCGCGCAGGCUUCGGGCAGCCUUCAGCUUUGAUAAAGUUACCUCAUUUAAAGACUUAUGCGAACCACGAAAAGCUAAAUCUGCCAUGGACAGAAAAACAUUCUGUUAAGCUUGGAACCUGAAUGAUCUUGGUUAUUUCAUGCCAUGGAUAUAUCUUAAACAAAAUCGUAUUUAAAUUUUGUAGAAUUCUGUCGAUUUUUGAGUCUUACGAAUCCUUAAAGUUAACAUAUGUCGCUCCCCAAGUCCCAACUGUGCCACGCCCUUGGACAACAUUUAAUCAGCAAAUGAUCGCUAUGCAUGGUGCCUAGUUGAUCUAUAUAUCCUUGGUUAUUCCAUAUCAUGGAUAUAGUCCUAGCGAACCUAAAGGACAACUGUCCCGGCCCCUAGAUGGUUUCCAGUUGACUAGCAUAUCCUUGGUUCUAUAGCAUACCAUCGAUAUAGUCCUUGCGAACCUACAGGAUCAGAUCCCUGCAAAAUGCGCAUUGAAAUGAUCCAAAAACAUGUAUGCUUUUUCUUACAGGAGCCCUUUUCCAUGAGCUGCAGCUGCAGCUGUUGUUUAGCAGCCGGCUUACAGCACUCUUUUAACAGCAACUGCUAUUUAACAGCACUCAUUUUGAGUGAGUUACA
rnacentral:sRNA from 1 species